AGGAAAUGACGAGAAGAUUGAAAUCAUGAUUAAUCCAUAACUUGAUAGCAGCCGAAUUGUGCAGCUUUGGAGCUUGUUAAACCACCAAAUUGUGCCAUGCUUCAUAGAUUGACAUCCUUUAUCAGAUUAUAAAGAAUGUGUUCUUUCGGGGUAUAUGUAUCUUAAAUCAGAAAAAUUCAUCAUGGGCUCAUUACAUAUUUUACGUAUUUGGUAUAUUUGAGGAUUGUUGGUUGUAAAGCAAGUAAAUAUUGAUGGCCAGCAUUUCAUUUGAAUAGUUUGUAUUUUGAGGGACUGACGUAUCCUAUUGUAUAUUAUAGGUAUUGAAUUGAGGAAACUUAGUUAUUGUCCA